UACGUAGGGGGCGAGCGUUGUCCGGAUUUAUUGGGCGUAAAGAGCUCGUAGGCGGUUUGGUAAGUUGGAUGUGAAAUCUCCAGGCUCAACUUGGAGGGGUCAUUCGAUACUGCCAUGACUAGAGUCCGGAAGAGGAGAGUGGAAUUCCUGGUGUAGCGGUGAAAUGCGCAGAUAUCAGGAAGAACACCCGUGGCUAAGGCGGCUCUCUAGUACGGUACUGACGCUGAGACGCGAAAGCGUGGGGAGCGAACAGG
rnacentral:rRNA from 1 species